rnacentral:rRNA from 1 species
GAAUUUAGCAGAGAUGCUUUAGUGCCUUCGGGAACUCUGAGACAGGUGCUGCAUGGCUGUCGUCAGCUCGUGUUGUGAAAUGUUGGGUUAAGUCCCGCAACGAGCGCAACCCCUAUCCUUUGUUGCCAGCGAUUCGGUCGGGAACUCAAAGGAGACUGCCGGUGAUAAACCGGAGGAAGGUGGGGAUGCGUCAAGUCAUCAUGGCCCUUACGAGUAGGGCUACACACGUGCUACAAUGGCGCAUACAAAGAGAAGCGACCUCGCGAGAGCAAGCGGACCUCAUAAAGUGCGUCGUAGUCCGGAUUGGAGUCUGCAACUCGACUCCAUGAAGUCGGAAUCGCUAGUAAUCGUAGAUCAGAAUGCUACGGUGAAUACGUUCCCGGGCCUUGUACACACCGCCCGUCACACCAUGGGAGUGGGUUGCAAAAGAAGUAGAUAGCUUAACCUUCGGGAGGGCGUUUACCACUUUGUGAUUCAUGACUGGGGUGAAGUCGUAACAAGGUAGGCGUAGCGAG